UUCUUUUUCUUCUCCUGAUCCGAUUCAUCAUCGUCGGUUCUCCCUCUUCCCCUCUCGCGAUCUUGACCCGUCGCCGAUUCCGUGUCCCUCAGUCCACUGCGCUUUUAACUCCUUCGGCUUCCGUGAUUAACCCCCGUCGGUUCUCCCUCUUCCCCUCUCGCGAUCUUGAUCCGCCGCCGAUUCCGUGUCCCUCAGCCCACUGCGCUUUUAACUCCUUCAGCUUCCGUGAUUAACCCCCCUCGUGAUAGUCUUGGGCAAGGUCCACGGAGGCGCUGGGGGCGAGCGUUAUCUUUUUGUCCAAUUGAUCCGCCGCCGAUUGCCCGAUGCCGCCUCUCUCUCGACGCUCUGCACCGCAUACCAUCGAGUGAGGCCGACGCGAUGAUGUUGUCAUCACCAUUCGAGACAUUGUCGCCUCUCCCUCACGCGUCUUCUUCGCUUGACGCUGCACCACCAUACGUCGAGCACCCGUCACCGUCAGUCCUUCUCUGAUCACAAGCGAGGACGCCAAUCUCCCUAUGCACCAUCACCCUAUUGACUGUGUUGAGUUCAGCCGAUCCUUGCAUCUCCACCGCAGCCACGACCGUGCCCUAGGCCUUGAUCUACCAUCGCCACAAGCACGGGUUGACACCAUCAGCUUCUCUGUUGCCACAAGCAACAGCUCUCCAGCUCAGCAACGCCAUCAUUGCCGCGCUCUUCAUCUGUGCAGAGGCCAGCCAGCGAUCGUUGCUGUCCUAGAGGCUACCGCUGUCCUAAGGGACGUUGAUUCAAGACGAACGUCUCAACGUGAGAUUGUUUAGCACAAUCAACAGAUAAAGUAGGUAGAUGAUUGUAGAGUCGCUUGGAGAAUCCUGUAUAUUGACCCCACAUCGCAUCUGAGGACGAUCUUUACUUCGCUUUUGUUUUCUUGCAUACUUUCCUUAUAGUUUUGGCAUUGUAAUAAUUAGAUUUGGACUUGGUAUUUAGCUUUGUGGCUACUUUAUUAUAUUUGAUAUUUAUUGUGUUUAAGUCAUGCCGUCACAUAUUGUAUCAUUUUGGAUUGUAUGA